UACGAAGGGUGCAAGCGUUACUCGGAAUUACUGGGCGUAAAGGGUGCGUAGGUGGUUGUUUAAGUCUGUUGUGAAAGCCCCGGGCUCAACUGGGGAGGGUCGUGCGAUACGGGCGAACUGGAGGCCAGUAGGGGGAUGCGGAAUUCCGGGUGUAGUGGUGGAAUGCGUAGAGAUCCGGAGGAACACCAGCGGCGAAGGCGGCAUCCUGGACUGGUCCUGACACUCAGGAGCGAAAGCGUGGGGAGCGAUCCGG
rnacentral:rRNA from 1 species